GAGAACUUUGGAUAACUAACCGAUGGUUUCAUGUGUUUCUAAAUUGGCAUGACAGACUUUAUGAGAAGUCAUGUCCUUUCAAGGAAAGGGACAAGGACUAUACAGUCAACAAGAUUCCUUGUUUGCUACCCCGUUGUCUGCUACCCUUUACUUCCUUACACAAGGCCUCUUGAUUUGAGGGUAACUCCUUCGUGGACUUCAUCCAUUGCUGAA